rnacentral:rRNA from 1 species
UACGAGGGGUGCAAGCGUUGCUCGGAAUUAUUGGGCGUAAAGGGUAGGUAGGUGGUCUCGUUUGUCUAGGGUGAAAGCCUUGAGCUUAACUCAAGAAGUGCCCUGGAAACGGCGAGACUGGAGUCCUGGAGAGGGUCGUGGAAUUCCCGGUGUAGCGGUGGAAUGCGUAGAGAUCCGGAAGAACACCGGUGGCGAAGGCGGCCCGCUGGGCAGAGACUGACGCUGAGGCGCGACAGCGUGGGAGCAAACAGG